AUCAGGCCAUACACACAACCGAAGUGAAAGAUUGGCCUACACAUCGGCUUAUAUUCAAAACCGAUGUAAGGACCUUUCUCUUGUUUCACAAAACGCUAUCCCUUCCUUUUCACAAAACCCAUUCCUCUUCGUGAACUCAACCUUCUUCUCUCACGCCGCUCUUCUUCUUCACAAAACAAAAGGAACCACGACACCCUCUCCGUUUCUGAUCAGAACGCCUCCGUGAUUCGAGUUCUGACCAACUCCAUUUUGUUGGCUCUGACGCCUCUCUCCAUCUUUGAUUCUGCUUCACCCAUCGUCGUCACAGAUCUCAUCCUCUUCGUCCGUUCGUUGUGGGUUUCUCUUCUGCGAUUCCGAAGAAGGUGUAGAUCAUGGUUGCUCGAUUUUUGUUUGGGUUGCAAGCGAAAUGCACAGAUGACGAUGAUAUUGUUGAAGGUUCUUGCGAUUGAAGCUCGAAGUGUUGAAGAAGCAUAGAGUCCUCUUUGAAUCUUCUGUUCUUGAGAGAAAUGAACCGAUGAUGGUUCUUCUUGUUGAUAAGGAAAAGGGUUACAUCGAUCUCAGUAAACGUAGGGUUUUUUAAGAAGAUAUUCAAGCUUGUGAGAAAGGCAUAAUAACAGUAAACCUUGAACCUCGAUUUAGAGAUAUUGACAUUGAAAAGUAGAGAACCAACUGAGCAAAUCAACUUUUAAUACUAAAACACAUGUUUUCUCACAUGAUCAAAGAAGAGAGCUUGAGCAACAUAUUUUGUGGCAAUGAUGAUCAAUUUGAGGUAUGGCCAUGGUUGGAGAAGAAACACUUCAAUUUAACAAAUAUUUGGCUAAUUGAGCAUAAGUUAAGGGCUAAUAAACUAUCGGAGGUACAAAACAAGUAAUUUUAAUUAUGUUUUACUUUGAGAUUUAGUGUGCAGAUAUUGGAGAGAAUUAUUGAUUA